UGGGAAGCAGGUGGGGGUGGUCGUUACAUUCUACAAAGGCUCUGGUGGAAGAAAUGGAGAAUGCUUAAUCAUCUUGCAAAGUGCAGCCUCUGACAAGAAAGCUUAUGGCCCGAACGCUGCACUUCAAUGAAUGUCAGAAGAUUGGCACUAUCAGUACUGAGGCAACAUUAGUCCACUGGGGACUUGGAAGUAUUAAUCAUGGAUGUGCUCAUGGAGGCAGAGUGAGAAGAAGCAGUAUGAGAGGGAUGCCCUGAGUAGGAUCUGAUCUCCUGCUUGCUUUGUGUUUUUGAACAGAUUGCUAAUUGUAUUCCAAACCUGAACCACCUACUGAAGACCUGCAGAAAAAGAAGUGGAAGAAUUCUGAGUGUCCUAAUUUGAGAGGAGGUUAUAGCACAAUAUUAUUAAGAUCAAACUGCCUCUCACCUCAAAUCAAGAAGAAAACCACUCUGCUUUGACUAAAGCCAGCACUGAAAAUUGCUCUGCCAAGAAUGCAGACCAUGGCAGGUUUCACGUGACAUUCAACCCACAGAGAAAGACAAAACAAAGAGCUUCUUGACUUAUUGGUGCUAUCACCUCUUAUGAAGCAGUAAAUUGCUGCAUAGACCAGAUGAUAAGGAAGUGCAUCUAAGACAUAGGAACCAGCCAAGUAUAAAGGUCUCCUUUCUUGUCAAAGAUCCAAGAAGGCCUGGCAUCUGCUUCAAUAUCCAAAGCAAAGGACUUCCUAUGGACACAGAUGUCAAGCAGUAGAUCUUCAAUGGUAUCUUAGUAGCUAGAGGCAAUGCAUCUGUCUGCUGACUUUUAGUUGCUGCUUUUGCUAAUAUACCUGUUAGCUCCAGCUCUGAAGUAAAGCAGCCUGAAUUGCCUGGCACACUUGGCACAGGAGCUUCUCCAGCUGAGGUUUCUGCCAAGGGGAGACAAGAGAUCAACUCGCACCAGAGGGAGGUCACAGGAUUCCUUGUGAAGAGGAGGUGGCUGUGGGUGUCUUCCCAUCCUUAUCCUCUCACAGGCUGCACUGAUCUUCCUCAGCAAGUUCAGUGCCUUGGAGCAAUAGGGUCCCUGCCAGCCCACCAGGAUGGUGACAUCUGUGCUCCUCCAUGCCAGUAUUUGGGAAGGAGGCAUGAGACCUGGCAUCCAGCAGAGCCAGGAACCAGCCAAAUCAAGAUAACAUGGAAAGGAGAGAAACUCCGGAUCUAUAGACUCUUCUGCCCUGAAACCCAUCAAUGACAUGGCAUGGAUAUUGCUUCUCUGUUGUAACUGUGAUAUUGCUUGUAACAAGUGAGGAUGAGUUGGUGGACAUGCAAACAACAGCAAGCUGUGUGUAGUAGUAAUUCCACCAGCUUUGGGGACUCUUCUGUCAGAGAACCUCACUCACUGGGAUGUACAAAAGAGAGAACAUGAUACUGAUCUCCUGAAAGGAAGUGAAGAAGACGACUUCUGAGCUGGUGCUGAACCACAGAGAAAUCAAAGUAGCAGGUCUGUUGUCAUCCUUGGCAUGUGAGAGCCUGAACUCCCAGCAUCUCCAAGAGUGCAGACACAAUAAACCCAGUGGAGAGAGCCUCUGCUUGGGAUAGCUCACCUUGUUCAGGCGAG